rnacentral:rRNA from 1 species
AGUGAACGCUGGCGGUAGGCCUAACACAUGCAAGUCGAACGGCAGCACAGUAAGAGCUUGCUCUUACGGGUGGCGAGUGGCGGACGGGUGAGGAAUACAUCGGAAUCUACUUUUUCGUGGGGGAUAACGUAGGGAAACUUACGCUAAUACCGCAUACGACCUACGGGUGAAAGCAGGGGAUCUUCGGACCUUGCGCGAUUGAAUGAGCCGAUGUCGGAUUAGCUAGUUGGCGGGGUAAAGGCCCACCAAGGCGACGAUCCGUAGCUGGUCUGAGAGGAUGAUCAGCCACACUGGAACUGAGACACGGUCCAGACGCCUACGGGAGGGAGCAGUGGGGAAUAUUGGACAAUGGGCGCAAGCCUGAUCCAGCCAGACCGCGUGGGUGAAGAAGGCCUUCGGGUUGUAAAGCCCUUUUGUUGGGAAAGAAAAGCAGCAGGUUAAUACCCCGCUGUUCUGACGGUACCCAAAGAAUAAGCACCGGCUAACUUCGUG